GCUUCAGUGGUGUAGUGGUAGAGCACGCGUCCCCGCACAGGAUGGAACGCGGGUUCGACUCCUGUCUGAGGUC